GGGGGAAGGUAGCUUGCUACUGGACCUAGCGGCGGACGGGUGAGUAAUGCUUAGGAAUCUGCCUAUUAGUGGGGGACAACAUCUCGAAAGGGAUGCUAAUACCGCAUACGUCCUACGGGAGAAAGCAGGGGAUCUUCGGACCUUGCGCUAAUAGAUGAGCCUAAGUCGGAUUAGCUAGUUGGUGGGGUAAAGGCCUACCAAGGCGACGAUCUGUAGCGGGUCUGAGAGGAUGAUCCGCCACACUGGGACUGAGACACGGCCCAGACUCCUACGGGAGGCAGCAGUGGGGAAUAUUGGACAAUGGGGGGAACCCUGAUCCAGCCAUGCCGCGUGUGUGAAGAAGGCCUUAUGGUUGUAAAGCACUUUAAGCGAGGAGGAGGCUACUUUAGUUAAUACCUAGAGAUAGUGGACGUACUCGCAGAAUAAGCACCGG
rnacentral:rRNA from 1 species